UCCGUAGGCGGGUAAUUAAGUCAGAGGUGAAAUCCCACAGCUUAACUGUGGAACUGCCUUAGAUACUGGUUAUCUUGAGUUUUAGUGAAGUAGAUAGAAUGUGUAGUGUAGCGGUGAAAUGCAUAGAUAUUACACAGAAUACCGAUUGCGAAGGCAGUCUACUAACUAACAACUGACGCUAAUGGACGAAAGCGUGGGGAGCGAACAGGAUUAGAUACACUGGUAGUCC
rnacentral:rRNA from 1 species